rnacentral:ncRNA from 2 species
UCGCGUCUUCAGGGCGGGGCGGAAUUCCCCACCGGCGGUAGGCGAAGCAGCGGCACCCGUGCCUCCGGUCUUCGCGAGCCCGCGAGCGCCCCUGGCCAGGCAUCGCCCUGGCCAGGGGGUCAGCAGAUCUGGCCACACACCAGAGCCGACGGUCACAGUCCGGAUGAAAGAAGAUGCGC